UGCCAUUUUUGUUUUAUCAACGGACGGAGAUGGAUUACGAACUUGCAAGUCCUGGUGUGCUCUGUUCACUUUCAACCGAGGAACUCUUAACAAAAAUACAAGAGUGGGGCUUAGAUGUCACCGAAGCUGAAGCUCAGCGUUUCAGAGACAAUGAGGUUGAUGGUGACACAGUUGACUGCGGUCUUACUGAGACUAUGGUUGCAUACCUUUUCCAAGGAUCCUUCAAAAAGCAGGUUAAAUUCAACCAAUUUGUGUCAAGGAUGAAGGAAUCUUCAGUGACGCUGACUCUACAGACUGUCUCUCCAGAAGACUGGCAACCAUCUACUUCGUCAACUUCAAUAAGCAAUGAAAAUACUUUGAGACUGCCAGCCUCUUUUGAAAUUCCAAGAUUUCCCAAAAAUCUGCAACUAAAACUGGACAACAAAGAACCGUGCCAUAAAAAUCCAAGGGACAGACACACAAUAAUCAGAGUUCUAUAUGAAGCUGUGGCACAGUAUACUAUGUAUCCCACAAAUUCUGAAUAUGUGCAAGCUGUGAAGACGCUGGUAAUGAAGUAUCCUUUCCUCAAGGAUCGUGAGGGAAAUGGUUAUGGACCAUGCGUCCAAGGAGAGGAUUUAUUAUCCAUAGACGCCCACUUAAAGGUCUUACAGUGCCAAUAUCAGAAGAUGCAACCAGAUACCAUGGUGGUUCAUAACCGUAUGCAGCAAACGUUUGCUU
ensembl:lncRNA